rnacentral:ncRNA from 1 species
CACCGCCCGUCACAUCAUGGAAAUUAAUUCAUUUUAACAUAAAAAAUUUGUAUUUUUUUUUUAAGAAAAUAUUUAAUAUUUAUUAUAUAAAAAUUUAAUAUAUUUUUUUUACUAAGAAGGAUUUAGUAACUAUGAUGAAGUCGUAACAAGGUAGUCGUAGGGGAACCUGUGGCUG